CUCAACCCGCGGGUAGGACGGAGUUUAGACCAGCUGAACCUCUUGUUGGUUUUAUACUGAGUCGACGUCAUCCUGGAUUUAGUUCCUGCUCCCCGCCCGGGACCGGCCUCCUGGCUGUCCUUCUCCCGGCAGGCCCCAGCUGGGCUCCCUGGGCCCCGGCGGCCUGGCCGAAGCCCGGCUCGGCUCGCGGCAGGCGGCCACGGUGAUUUGCGGGACCCUCUGCGCGUCACGGCCCGUCAGCCGGAGCUGCGGGAGGCGCAUCCAGUCCACGACGGCGCGCAGGCGGCCGAGAGCCCUGCGAGAAGAAUGUACUGCACUCCUGAAGGGCUGGGCCUAGUCUCACUCCUUGUUCUCUAUCCAUCAUUGGAGACAGGACUUGACACCUGGGAGACGUCCAAAAGAAAUAUUUCAGAGCUGGCCUUGAUCUUCGUAACUGUGGAGACCGCAUGUGGUGGUGAGAGAGAUGAAGAGACCAGAUCCUAAUACAGGAUAUAGAAGGGCCACCCAGGAGUUAUAUCCAGUCUACGCAGAUAGCUCGUUGGAACUACCCCAUGUUUAAACAUUUUUGGGGGAAUUAGUCGCUAGCAUUUAAAAAUCUCUGAAGGUUUCAAAUAAGUGUACAGAUCUAUUUGUGCUUAACCAAAAGAUCUGAGAAUAUCAGGCCUGGCAGUAUUACGGGGCAAAAACUGGCUGGGGCUGACUCGCCUUUACUCCCGCUUGACCUGGCUUUUGCCAUCCAGUGGCUCUAAACCCACUUGGCCUGCUUCCUCAUUCCGGUCACAGGCCUGGCCCCAUCAGCGUUUGAAUUUACUUUAUUUGCUCGAAUGCUCUAAGUCAUGAUUCAAAGCAAUGGUUCCCAACUCUUUUUGAAAUAUGAGGACCUCUUUGUAAAAUAAUGUCCCCCCUGUGAUCAUGAAAUGAAGACAUGCUCACAGCAGGAACGCAAGACAUGUGGAAAGUCGCUAGAAGGUAGUAAAUAUCGCCCGCAGGCUAACACGUGGAGAGAAGCCCCAUUUACACUUGGUGGGUGUGCGGGCUUCUAAAAUCUUCAUGGUCCUCACACUCUAGUAGUUUUAUAUAUAUAGUAAUUAACUUCUGAUUGGCCAAAAUCAGAUGUAAUAAAACAAUUACUUUUGCAGAAACAGGGAAGAAGGAAUGUGACUUCCUUCAGCGCACGGUUUUCCCACGGCCAUUUGGAAAACGUCGCACUUGUACAUGGGCACAUAUUACAGGCUAACCUGGCAGGCCAUCUUUGGUGCCCACGUGGAGGUUCAGACUCUUGUCUUUUGGGGCCUGGAACUUCUGCUUUAAGGAGCUAUAGUAAAGACCAAAAUGUGCCAGUUUGGCAUCAUGCACUCAUCUCCCGAUCAUAUCUGGCCACAUUACAGCAAAAAUACAUUUUAGUGCAUCAUUGAACUUCUUGGAAAUACGGGAACUCCAAAGGGCCAUGAUAAGGAAAAAACAAGCAAGCAGGUAGGUAAAUAUAUAAAUGUC